UUCUCCAGCAACUGUUCCCACACCAUUUGGAAGACCAUAAUGAGGCAUCCCAUUCCCAAUAACACCAUCAGAUAUAUUUACUUUUGAGAUGCCCAAGCUCAGGUUCUCUUGUGGAUCACUUUCAAGUUCCAUACCUCCUCCACUACCAAAAAGAUCAUAAUCUUCCAAGUCCUCCAGUGAACCAGGCAGCCUACUCAGGUCAAAAUCUUCCAUUAUGCCAGCUAAAAGCUCAUUCUCAUCAUCAGGAAGUAAACUUCCAAUUGCAUGAGUUUCAACAUCUUCAAGUAAAUCACUACCCUCCACAUCCACAUCUUGAGGAAGUUUAUCCAAACUAGAUGAGGCAUCAUCAACAGAUUGACGACUACAUUCUGUAUUAUUCAAAUUCAACUUUUCAUGAGGA
rnacentral:misc_RNA from 1 species